AUGUCUGAAAGUGUCAGCUAAGCAAAAAUGACCUGUGUGUCCUCAAAGACUCUUAGGAAAGGCAGGAGCAGAAGGAACAGGUGUGGAUGCCGCAAACAACAGUUUUCCAGGGUGCAGUUUCCAGUGAGUAAAACAGCUGCAGGUUUGCAUACUUGUAGAUAUAUGUGUGAGAGAGUGAAAGACAGUGAAAAAACAGAAGACACAGAGAAAGCCAACUGCUAGAGUGAUAAGCAACAGCAUACUGUCAUGAGGUGAAACCAAAAGAUAGUUCUUCCUGGCUGAAUGGCCUUGCUACAACUGUGCUUUGUGUGCAUCCUCUAAACAAACAGGACUACUCCAAAGAAAUUAUGGGUCCUCACUAUCCUCUUCUCUUCCUAAUGCAAUGCAGCCAGCAAGGCCAGGAUUUUGGCUAACUAGAUAGACCAUGGGAAGAAAAUAUUAGCUGGCAUCAAAACCUGAGCUGCGCAAGAUAGAUCCUCUUAUCAAGAGUUAGAAGAACUAUCGCUCUCUGCCCGUGUGGCUGGGGUCCAUGCAUUCCCACGUGUUGUCACAGGCAGCACUGCCUUCUUUCCUUUGGAAGACUGCUACAAACUCCAGUCUGAUCCUGCUACUGCUGAAGCGAAUGGGAGUUCUGCCAUGGACUUCAAGGAGACCAGAAGCAGGCCCUCAGCUCGCAAAUCCUUUAUAGUCUUUUCCAGAUACUAAAUAAAACCGUGCUUGGAAGUAAUUUGGAUGCCAGCAAGCUGGCCCAGUUUGCCAUGAAAUUCAAAGAUGCCCAACAAUGUGAUGUGUAUUAGGAUACAAUUAAAGUAUCUUCUUCACAGUGCAAUGUGCAAUUUCCUUUCCAAUAAAAAUAUAAGCUUGCCGUAUGUGCAAACAAUUUUAGCAUUUCUGUUUUUAUGCCAUCUUACUGACAAGAAACUCCCAGCUGUUAUAAUUUGUCUCAUCCUUCUUUCCCUUGUAGAACCAGCCUUUGUUCCUUUUUGCAGUGCCAGGGACUUGCUGAGCUCCACCUGAUGUGAUUUGUCCAGGCAUUAAUAAUGCAUCUUCAAGAUGCAAGAUGCAUGAAUUCUUCCAGCAGCAGACCUGCCGGCAGACUGCUGCACCGCCUUGUGCUGCUUCCCGAGAUGAGGGAGGCAGGAGGGCCACAUGGCCGUGCACAUGCACGCACAUAAAGGUCACAGGGCUGGGGAGCAAGGGGUGUCCUGUUAUUAUGUGGGGGUGACUGCAUCCUCCCACAGAGAGCAGGCUGGGGAUUAUGGCUACAAUAGGAGCUGUUCCUGAAGCUGGGAGGCCCUCACCCACCAUCCAACAAAUCCCAGUGGAAAGACCUGAGGUGCCACAGAAGGACAGCGAGCUUGGGGCCACUGCCAUCCCUAAACAUGAACAAGCCGACUCAGACUCCAGACAAUCCCCAUCACCUGCCUGUGAGCGUCGGAGGCUCGAUAGGCUUGCCUGCCCCCACAGCCCCCCACGCCCUAAAAAAUACUACAAAAUUUAAGAAAUAAUUCUUUUUAAAAAGCUCGUUUAAUCGAUAGGAUCGCUGGCAGGGCCGCGGCUCGGCUCUGCUGACGUCGCCAUGGCAACGGCUCUCGGCUCCCGGCGCGAGGCCGCCCCGCGGCCCGGCCCUGGCCUCAGCCCCGACCCCGGCCCCGGCUCGGGCCUCGCCGUCCUCCCCCACCGCCUGCGUCGCCGGGCCGCGGCCGUGUAGGCCUGUGAGAGGGUCGGGGCCUGGACCCGCGCCGGCAGUGCUCCCCGCGGCCCGGCACGAGGGGCGUUGUGAGGAGCCAGGUAUCUACAGGAGUAUUCCACUUAAAGACUGAGAAUAUCCUUAAGUUGCAGAUCUCAAGAGACUAGAUGUGUUUCUGGCCAUACAGAGAAGCUGAGUUUUAGAAAUCCACUAUAAUGUAGAUUUUUAUAUCGACAUCUUUAGCACCUGCAGAAUUAUUCAGGAAUUUUGGGAUCACAGGUCCAGACUUAAGCACCUGUGAAUUUAGAGAAGGUUUUCUAGUCUGUGCGGAGCUGUACCAUUGAAACUUGCCUCCUGUAAUUCACAAUCAACCCACUAUCACCUCAAGCCUGAUCUGAGAGAGGCUGUGACUUCCCUACGUGCUCCUCCUAGUGAAGAUUUGCCAUCAGUGCUGACAAGGCAGUAGCAGCCUCACUAGCUGUAAGUGACAUCUCUCCUCGCUGACAAAAUAUCCCAUCAGCCCAUAUUAGUCUGGAGAGCGCGUCUCUCCCAAAAAGCCCUCAUAGCCAUGAGUCACAAUGUGAAAGCCCUACCAUCAGGGCAACAGUCAAAAUUUAUUCUCAGGCUGGCCUCACAUGUUAACUUAUCACCAAACUAAACUCUGCUGAAAGGCUGGAGCUUGUAUUCACAUAGGGUGGAAAUUGGUUCCACUGGGAGAGCUUCAAAGUCAUUUCAGCCAUUAAACUGUGGCUGGAUGUAUCAUAAGUACAGGAGAGGUCGAGGCACUGCCUGUGAACCGCGGGGACUUGGUAAAGAAGUUCCUGAGAAAUUGGCAGAGCUAUUGUGUAUUCUGUUUCAGUCUGGCUCUGCAGCGGGAGCGAGUCGCGUCUGUACAUGAGACUCAUUAUGCUUCCUCUGUUUAACAUACCAAUUACUUUCUGUAUUUACCAUGUUUAGAGCGACUUGAUGUCAAAAAUUAAUAACGCUAAAAUAAAGAGUAGCGCUGGUGUGUACUAAAGGGGAAGGAAAGCAGGUUAAUAGAAUGUGUAAUAGAGAAGGAAGGUGAAUUUGCAGCUGUAGGGAUCACAUCCAGAUGAAUUUCACGGUGUGCAGUGGCAGGGGUCCCACUGAGGCCCCUGUGCUCUUUAAGACACACUUCAGACAGCGAUGAGUGUAUCUUGAGAGGCUGCAGUGCCUAGGUAAUUUCACCCUGUAAGCAGUGUAAACAAGUAACAGUGCCAGUCAUCCCCUCCAUGAGUUUCACUCCCUCAAAUUUCUUGCCCGUGCCUCAAUAUCGUGCAAAAGUGCUUGGGGGUCAAGUGAUUAAGGUUGGAGGAAAAGAUGACGGGUAAAUGUUUUUGUCUUUUUUAACAGACCCUUGUACAAGCAUGGGCAAGUGAGGAUACCUUGGUUCUUCCUUGUUGAUUCUAGCAGGAGGUCUCUGAUCUUUUCAAGUCCACAAAAUGUUUUACGCAGAUUCCCCAAGGAAUCUGACAACUCUGGUGCAUGGCACUUCCAUAAAAUACUGAAUUCAGCACCUGUCUGGUAAUAGGACGUGAAUUGCUGUCUGAGUCUCUAGUAGGCAGCAUGCCAUCACACAGACGAGCAUUCCCUCACUCCUGUUAAUCACUACAGACAAGAGACUGCAUGGCCUAUUGGUGGGAGGUAACUGGAAAAGGACUGUAUUGAUCAGUGACAUUGGAAGAGUUGUCAUUAAUGGAGGUCGUAAAAGCAGCUCUAAUAUUUAUAACCAAAUCAGAUGGAAUUUAUACCUCAGUAAGCCAUAGAAGACCUCAACAAGCAACUGGUAUACAGGCAUACAGUUAUUUGUAUUUUAGUAUGCCUCCAAUUUCAGCAGGACAUCUUCUCCAGACUGGUAUGAGAAGGAUCCUGGUUUCUGCAUCACUUCACUCACUGUUGCCAUUGAUUCUUUAUGGGAUACUGUGUGAGGGAGAAAGGUAGGAAGCUCCAAAUCUAUCUAUCUACUUGUUUUGCUAGACCGAAGGAGUGUUAAAAAAUUGACUUUCCCAUUUUCUUUCAAUAGGCAACUGAUCCAUUAUAAUGUGACACCUUUAUGCACAUCCUUGAGGUUGGAGAGAUGCAAAUUCUUCCAAAAGACAACUGGAAACACACUUCUGAUUUUACCUUCUUUUCGCUUUGUUUUCUUUUCAGUAUAGGCUCAGUACUGCUAAAAGGAAUAAUGAGAUGGGGUCCAGCAAUGUGAUAGCAAAGGACAGGACCUGUGUGAUUCCCUUUGCUUGCUCACUCCACUCAGGUACUCAGACUCCCUCAGGCAGCAAGUUUGAGUGCAGGUAGACAAAAGUAAUUCUGUGUCAUGGCACAGGUGGCAUGAUAUUGGUGCAGAGGCUCUUUGUACAAAGCCUGACUAAGGAUCUCUAGGUCUGUCUCAAACUAUCCCUAUUGUCUUAUGACUUACGUGCCUCACUGAUACGAUAAAGCUCAUUUUGCACCAGCAGUAAUGUAUGGUGUCUUAACAUUUUCAUGUUUUUCUUGCUUUGGAAAGCUAAUCCAUACCUAAGCAAACAAGCUGCUCUUACAGUAAAAACACACUCAGUGCUGAGAGUUUGCCUUGCAUGUUUGCCCUUUUGUAAAAGAUGAUCUUCAUUAAGAAAUCUGUAUCUUAGGCUUAAGAGAUGGUUCACGUGAACAGACUUUCUCAGAGAAAAAUCCUUAGUUCUUUGCUUACUUCUUUUCCAUUUAAACUCCAGUUUCCUUUAGUGGAAGUUUGCUUUUCACCUAUUUCUGCUACUAACCCAUCAUUUCUUUUCCAUUGCAAACUCAACUGCGCUCUGAAGGCAAAGCUAGAUUCUUUCCUUAUAAUGCAUCACUCACAGGUAAUGAAAUCUCUGCAAGCAAAAAUAUGCAAGAAUUAUUGUUGAGCAAACAUUACUGGUCUCUUGUACAAGGAGAAAUUCCACUCAUGCCAACACUAAAGGUAAUAAAGGGAGAGAUCCAGGAACACUUGUUAACAAUCAGCAUGUGCGCUGACUGGUCUGGUAACGGGUAAGGAGUACAGAGUUUUAUUAAUAAUACAAUAAAGAGGAACCAGCUCACUUGUCUUGAAGCAGGUUGGUUUUUCUGGGCUAAAAAUCAUAAACUUUUUAGUUUUGAACGCAGGCAGCAAUGAUUCUCAAUACACAACAGGAGCAGAUCUGCUGAGUAAGAAGGUACAAUUUUUAUAACAUUGCUUUCAGAACAGGACAUACAUCAAUCUUUUACUCUUAAACAAGCUCGGUGUUAUUCUUCCAACAGAAAGGUCAAAAAUACAUGGCAUGAAGUCUAAAUCACUCUAUUGCAUUCUGCUUGGACUGGAUGUAGGGCUGUUUGCCUCUCACUGACUGUGUGAAAGGAAUAUCUCAGGUUUAAAUAUCCUCCAGAAAUCUUUCUUCUCAAGGUACAAAGAGAGAUGGAGUAUGGCAGCUAGCAAACAGGGGCUGUAGUCAUUCUUUCUGCACCUAGGAAGCACUAAAAUGAACCCAAAUUUCCUGCCCAGCCACUGUGCAUAGCCAUGGAAGAUAAUUUGAAAUGCUUAGUGUGCUGACAUCCACCAUGAAG